GGCCCAUUAGCUCAGUUUGUUAGAGCGUCAUGCUGAUAAUGCAAAGGUCUUUGGUUCACUCCCCACAUGGGCCA
rnacentral:tRNA from 1 species